CCUACGGGAGGCUGCAGUGGGGAAUAUUGGACAAUGGGGGCAACCCUGAUCCAGCCAUGCCGCGUGUGUGAAGAAGGCCCUCGGGUUGUAAAGCACUUUCAGUGAGGAAGAACGCCUGGUGGUUAAUACCCAUCAGGAAAGACAUCACUCACAGAAGAAGCACCGGCUAACUCCGUGCCAGCAGCCGCGGUAAUACGGAGGGUGCGAGCGUUAAUCGGAAUUACUGGGCGUAAAGCGCGCGUAGGUGGCUUGAUAAGCCGGUUGUGAAAGCCCCGGGCUCAACCUGGGAACGGCAUCCGGAACUGUCAAGCUAGAGUGCAGGAGAGGAAGGUAGAAUUCACGGUGUAGCGGUGAAAUUCGUAGAGAUCGGGAGGAAUACCAGUGGCGAAGGCGGCCUUCUGGACUGACACUGCCACUGUGGUGCGGAAGCGUGCGUAGCAAACAGGAAUAGAUACCCCAGUAGUC
rnacentral:rRNA from 1 species